rfam:Triticum aestivum genome assembly, contig: Triticum_aestivum_CS42_TGACv1_scaffold_499531_6BL
CAUAUAUUCCCUCCGUUCCAAAGUACUACUUGACUUUCAUUUGUCCAAAAAUGGAUGUACCUAUAUACGAAAACAUGUAUUGAUACAUCUAUAUUUUGACAAAUGGAAGGCAUGUAUUGUGGAAUGGAGGGAGUAUUUG